ACAAGCGGUGGAGCAUGUGGUUCAAUUCGACGCAACGCGAAGAACCUUACCAGCCCUUGACUUGUGACUCGCCGGCUCCAGAGACGGAGCCUUCGGUUCGGCCGGAGUCAACACAGGUGCUGCAUGGCUGUCGUCAGCUCGUGUCGUGAGAUGUUGGGUUAAGUCCCGCAACGAGCGCAACCCUCGUCUCCAGUUGCCAUCAGGUAAUGCUGGGCACUUUGGAGAAACUGCCGGUGACAAGCCGGAGGAAGGUGGGGAUGACGUCAAGUCCUCAUGGCCCUUACGGGCUGGGCUACACACGUGCUACAAUGGCGGUGACAGUGGGAUGCGAAGGGGCGACCCGGAGCCGAUCCUAAAAAGCCGUCUCAGUUCGGAUUGCACUCUGCAACUCGAGUGCAUGAAGGUGGAAUCGCUAGUAAUCGAGGAUCAGCAUGCCUCGGUGAAUACGUUCCCGGGCCUU
rnacentral:rRNA from 1 species